CCUACGGGGCGCACCAGUGGGGAAUAUUGCACAAUGGGCGCAAGCCUGAUGCAGCCAUGCCGCGUGUAUGAAGAAGGCCUUCGGGUUGUAAAGUACUCUCAGCGAGGAGGAAGGCAUUAAGGUUAAUAACCUUGGUGAUUGACGUUACUCGCAGAAGAAGCACCGGCUAACUCCGUGCCAGCAGCCGCGGUAAUACGGAGGGUGCAAGCAUUAAUCGGAAUUACUGGGCGUAAAGCGCACGCAGGCGGUCUGUCAAGUCGGAUGUGAAGUCCCCGGGCUCAACCUGGGAACUGCAUUCGAAACUGGCAGGCUAGAGUCUUGUAGAGGGGGGUAGAAUUCCAGGUGUAGCGGUGAAAUGCGUAGAGAUCUGGAGGAAAACCGGUGGCGAAGGCGGCCCCCUGGACAAAGACUGACGCUCAGGUGCGAAAGCGUGGGGAGCAAACAGGAUUAGAUACCCCUGUAGUC
rnacentral:rRNA from 1 species